rnacentral:rRNA from 1 species
GAUGCUUGCAUCUGAUUGGACGACGGUUUACCAACGAGUAGGCGGACGGGUGACGUAACACGUAGGCAACCUGCCAGAAGCGGGGGAACAACAUUUGGAAACAAGUAGCUAAUACCGCAUAACAACGAAAACACAUGGUUUUCGUUUAAAAGAUGGUUUCGGCUAUCACUUCUGGAUGGGCCUGCGGCGCAUUAGCUUGUUGGUGAGGUAACGGCUCACCAAGGCUGUGAUGCGUAGCCGAGUUGAGAGACUGAUCGGCCACAAUGGAACUGAGACACGGUCCAUACUCCUACGGGAGGCAGCAGUAGGGAAUCUUCCACAAUGGGCGCAAGCCUGAUGGAGCAACACCGCGUGAGUGAAGAAGGGUUUCGGCUCGUAAAGCUCUGUUGUUGGAGAAGAACGUGCGUGAGAGUAACUGUUCACGCAGUGACGGUAUCCAACCAGAAAGUCACGGCUAACUACGUGCC